rnacentral:rRNA from 1 species
UACGUAGGGUGCGAGCGUUAAUCGGAAUUACUGGGCGUAAAGCGCACGUAGGCGGAUCGAUCAGUCAGGGGUGAAAUCCCAGGGCUCAACCCUGGAACUGCCUUUGAUACUGUCGAUCUGGAGUAUGGAAGAGGUGAGUGGAAUUCCGAGUGUAGAGGUGAAAUUCGUAGAUAUUCGGAGGAACACCAGUGGCGAAGGCGGCUCACUGGUCCAUUACUGACGCUGAGGUGCGAAAGCGUGGGGAGCAAACAGG